rnacentral:rRNA from 1 species
CACGCAGGCGGUUUGCUCAGUCUGUUGUGAAAGCCCGGGGCUCAACCCCGGAACGGCAUCGGAUACUGGCAGACUGGAGACAGGUAGAGGCUAGCGGAAUUCCUGGUGUAGCGGUGGAAUGCGUAGAUAUCAGGAAGAACACCUGUGGCGAAGGCGGCUAGCUGGGCCUGCUCUGACGCUCAUGUGCGAAAGCGUGGGGAGCAAACA